rnacentral:pre_miRNA from 1 species
AUAAUACUCCCUCCGUCCAGAAUUACUUGUCAUCAAAAUGGAUGUGUCUAGAACUAAAAUACAUCUAGAUACAUCCAUUUCAAUGACAAGUAUUUUCGAACAGAGGGAGUAGUAG